rnacentral:rRNA from 1 species
CUACUAUUCUUUCUACUUUAGGGGUGGAAAUCGAAGGAGAUGGAGCCGAUGAAGGACGUGAUAAGCUGCGAUAAGCUUGGGGGAGUUGCACGUAAACUGUGAUCCCAAGAUUUCCGAAUGAGGAAACUCACUUAGAGUAAUGUCUAAGUAUCGUAUAGUGAAUACAUA